AGUUAAUGAACUUGAAUAAGUAUAUGAUUUGAAAUCAUACUAUAGAAAUAAAAUUUUCUAUUAACUU
rnacentral:tRNA from 1 species